UACACUUGGCUGGUUGUUUUCCAACUCUAAAUGCAGUUGUAAGGGAAAAAAUAAAAACAAAAUAAACAACUUCUAUUUUGUUGUUUUUUUUUAACCUUAAUUUAGAAUUAAAAAGAAAAUAGAUUAUAAUUGCAACCAAAACCACGGUCGACAAUAACCUAUCAUAUUUUUUUCUUAACCCAUCUCGAAAGUAUGAGUCAAAUUUAACAGAUUUCAGAAUAUUUAUAAACAAAAGAUGAAUGUACAUAUGUAUGUAUGUAUAUUUUACAAAAAGGGUAAUUUUCCUUUUUUACAUACGAUAUUAAAACAACGCAAUAGUAUCAUCAUAUAAAGUACAUUGCAAUAUGAAAUUAUGCAUUAGUAUUUGAAAACAAUUUAGAGAAGAAGGUUGACGAAAGAAAACCAAAAUAUGGCAUCCAUGGCGGAAAUGGCCCAAUUGGCCGCAUUAAUAAACUAUAAUAAACAACAUUAUCGAGAAAUUGACAAGAUCAUUAAAGAUCAUAAUCACAACUGUAAAAAGGAAACAACACCUGAGAAUCGAGACAAAGUGAAGAUGAUGAGAAGUGAUAGUCAGGAGAAUAACAAAUGUUGGUGUUACAAAUAAAAUUAUAUUUUUAUAGUAAAUAUAUGUAUGUAAAGCGAAAAUAUGUUUUAAGAAUUUGAAUUUUAUAUCAACAAUGUAUUCCUAAGUAUUCUCUAAUAAAUAAACAAUAACAUUAAUGAAUAAUAAAAAUA